rnacentral:rRNA from 1 species
GCCUCUAGAUAGAAAAUAGGUGCCCGUACCGCAAACCGACACAGGUAGUCAAGAUGAGAAUUCUAAGGUGAGCGAGCGAACUCUCGUUAAGGAACUCGGCAAAAUGACCCCGUAACUUCGGGAGAAGGGGUGCUCUUUAGGGUUAACGCCCAGAAGAGCCGCAGUGAAUAGGCCCAAGCGACUGUUUAUCAAAAACACAGGUCUCUGCUAAACCGUAAGGUGAUGUAUAGGGGCUGACGCCUGCCCGGUGCUGGAAGGUUAAGAGGAGUGGUUAGCUUCUGCGAAGCUACGAAUCGAAGCCCCAGUAAACGGCGGCCGUAACUAUAACGGUCCUAAGGUAGCGAAAUUCCUUGUCGGGUAAGUUCCGACCCGCACGAAAGGCGUAACGAUUUGGGCACUGUCUCAACGAGAGACUCGGUGAAAUCAUAGUACCUGUGAAGAUGCAGGUUACCCGCGACAGGACGGAAAGACCCCGUGGAGCUUUACUGUAGCCUGAUAUUGAAAUUCGGCACAGCUUGUACAGGAUAGGUAGGAGCCUUUGAAACGUGAGCGCUAGCUUACGUGGAGGCGCUGGUGGGAUACUACCCUAGCUGUGUUGGCUUUCUAACCCGCACCACUUAUCGUGGUGGGAGACAGUGUCAGGCGGGCAGUUUGACUGGGGCGGUCGCCUCCUAAAAGGUAACGGAGGCGCUCAAAGGUUCCCUCAGAAUGGUUGGAAAUCAUUCAUAGAGUGUAAAGGCAUAAGGGAGCUUGACUGCGAGACCUACAAGUCGAGCAGGGUCGAAAGACGGACUUAGUGAUCCGGUGGUUCCGCAUGGAAGGGCCAUCGCUCAACGGAUAAAAGCUACCCCGGGGAUAACAGGCUUAUCUCCCCCAAGAGUUCACAUCGACGGGGAGGUUUGGCACCUCGAUGUCGGCUCAUCGCAUCCUGGGGCUGUAGUCGGUCCCAAGGGUUGGGCUGUUCGCCCAUUAAAGCGGUACGCGAGCUGGGUUCAGAACGUCGUGAGACAGUUCGGUCCCUAUCCGUCGUGGGCGUAGGAAAUUUGAGAGGAGCUGUCCUUAGUACGAGAGGACCGGGAUGGACAUACCUCUGGUGUACCAGUUGUCGUGCCAACGGCAUAGCUGGGUAGCUAUGUGUGGACGGGAUAAGUGCUGAAAGCAUCUAAGCAUGAAGCCCCCCUCAAGAUGAGAUUUCCCAACUUCGGUUAUAAGAUCCCUCAAAGAUGAUGAGGUUAAUAGGUUCGAGGUGGAAGCAUGGUGACAUGUGGAGCUGACGAAUACUAAUCGAUCGAAGACUUAAUC